GAGACUGAAUGACAGAAAAUGAGCUACAAUUUCUUCGAAAAACCACUCAAGACUUGCCAACCCAGAAUGAUGGUGCCUAAACUAAUUCCUCCUUGCACAGUCUGUGGAUAGUACACUUUCUCGUCUGAGGGGCGCUCAUUACCAUGUGUAUGACACCACAUGGCUGUUUCCCUGUUACCAAGCGAAAGUUACCAGUGCUUUGUAGAGAGGAGGAGAUCAAUAAAUAGAACUGAUUGCAAGGUCAGAAGGGGAGAGACAAUGAGAUUUAUGGCCCAUUUCAAGACCAAAAGGCAAAAGCACUGGGCUGGGAGACCCACAAUGAAUGGCCGCUGGCCCAGAGUUACGAAGGAUAAUCAAGAGAUGGCUGCAACAACUAGCAAGAACCAAGACCCUCCAGGGGUAGCCCAUCCACCUCUGCAUCAAACAAAA